ACCACAACAGGUGGAGCCUGCGGUUUAAUCGGACUCAACGCCGGGAAACUCACCAGAUAAGACAGCUGAAUGAUAGUCGGGCUGAAGACUCACUUGACUAGCUGAGAGGAGGUGCAUGGCCGUCGUCAGUUCGUACUGUGAAGCAUCCUGUUAAGUCAGGCAACGAGCGAGACCCACGCCAACAGUUGCCAGCUCGUCCUCCGGGAUGGUGGGGACACUGUUGGGACCGCCUCUGCUAAAGAGGAGGAAGGAAUGGGCAACGGUAGGUCAGCAUGCCCCGAAUUAUCUGGGCUACACGCGGGCUACAAUGGGUGGGACAAUGGGUAUCGACACCGAAAGGUGAAGGCAAUCUCCUAAACCCAUCCGUAGUUCGGAUUGUGGGCUGCAACUCGCCCACAUGAAGCUGGAAUCUGUAGUAAUCGUGUCUCAAAAUGGCACGGUGAAUAUGUCCCUGCUCCUU
rnacentral:rRNA from 1 species